rnacentral:rRNA from 1 species
GGGUGCGAUCAUACCAGCACUGAUGCAUCGGAUUCCAUCGGAACUCCGAAGUUAAGCGUGCUUGGAUGAUGUAUAAUAGUUUUACACAUACCAGCUC